rnacentral:lncRNA from 1 species
UGUAAACGUAAGCAGUGAAAUAUAUAUGAACUAAUUAUUUGCAGCAAUUUCUUAUAUACGUAAGCUAUCAUGGUACAAUUAACGUAGCUCCUUCAAUUGUCAGCUAAGAAGAUAAAUUACGUUAUAUAUAUAUAUAUAUAGCUUCUUCUUCCUCAACUUAUUUCCAAGCAAACAAGCUAGGGUUUUAAUACAUUCGCAGAUUAACUAGUGACAGGAGCACGAAUUGUCGCCAACAUCUCUUAUCUUUUAAGCUGCGGGGGCAUAAUCAUAAUCACCGUCAUCAUCUUUAUCAUCAUCAUCAUCGGCUUCGAAAAUAGUCAUGAGUUGGUACGCAAACCAUUCUGGAUGAUAGUAAACAUUAUCUUGAUCGUGCAAAAGUUUUUGAACCAGCGACCCCAUUACAGAAAGAAAAGAAAGUAGAAGCGAAAGGAUGGUUUAUAAUAGAAAUGAUAAUAAUGUAAGAAAAAUAUGAAGUGACUUGGUUAAUUGAUGGAGGUUGGUGAGGUAUAUAUAUAUAGUGAUUCGAAGCUUUUAACGUUAAGGUAAAUUGCUUUAGAGCUUCUGGAGGGAGGAGAUAGGCACGUGGAAAAAUGCGCCUUAACGUUGAUGAGUGCGCGUCAGACACGAGAGAACAAAUCCUAGGUGGCAUGUUACGAAGCAGUUGCUAAAUCUCGUAAAGUUAACAUAUCGAAUCUAUGUUGUUUUGGAAGGUAGUGGGAGAGAAGAGUGAGGACAUUUAAGUCUGUGUAUACAGUGUAAAGGAUUAAGGUUCCCAUCACAAACCCUAAUCCCUUAUUUCUGACCAAUUAGUUAUUUCGUCACGUCCAAUGAUAUUUUUGUCACUAUAAACUUUCUCACAAAAAAAGAAACUGAUAACCCUUUUGUAGAUAACAGAGUGGAGGAUAGGAUGAUUUAAAACUAAAUCUGGAAAAAGAAAAAAGGUGUGUGAUGGCAUACCAAGGAUAGCUUAAAAACCCACAUGACGUGUCUCCAACAUUUCUCACCCUUUAUGUCUUUAUCUACUUCCUUAAACUAGGUUUUGUUUGGUAUUAUAACAAAAAUAGAUAAAUUUAUAAGAUAUUUAAUUAAUAAU